AGUGGAACGAAUAAUUGGAUUUAUCGGGUCAAAAUUUUGUUGUAUGCAGAAAGAAAAGUAAAAAAAAAAAAAAAUUGUAUUACAAUGCAUUCUGUAAAACGAUGGGUAUAUCUGUUUGGGUGGAAGUGGGGUGAAAGUGGAGAGGUUGGAAGUCAUUUUCGUCAUAAAUGAUCACUUUCGUUAUUUGGUUUGCUGUAAAAAAUGUACGGUCGAAACUCGAGUUAACCACAAACGGCGUAAUUAAUUUUGACCUAUCGUGGGUCAAAAUUAAUUACGGUAAAAAAAAUAAUAAAAUAAUAUAUUAGGUAAAAAUAGUUAUAUUUAAAUAUAUUUAAUUAUGGUAUUAAUUACUCUUUUAUUUAGUUGGUAUAUUUAAAAUAUGAUAAAAAUUGAUUAGUUAAAUUUUAAUAUUUUUGUUUAUUUAGUUUGUACAAUUAAAAUAUAAUAAAAAUUGAUUAAUUAAGUAUUAAUAUUUUUUUUUACUUUAUAAUUUUAUUGUUGUAUUACUAUAAUUUAUGUAUAAAAAAUAAUUUAGUUAUUUUAAAUUAAAUUCGGUAAAACAAACAUGAAGUAUAUAUGAGCGUUGGU
rnacentral:lncRNA from 1 species